ACCUAGAUUUGUUUCAGUAAAAGAGUAAUGUUCGAAAUUGUUAGGGAAAAUAGAUAGAAAUAAAGUAUUUGAACUUAAAAAAAUGAAUAAAAACAACCAAGGACGGUUAGACUUUUCAAAAAAAAGGUUA
ensembl:ncRNA F49E7.5 ncRNA